UGGGGAAUUUUGGACAAUGGGCGCAAGCCUGAUCCAGCAAUGCCGCGUGAGUGAAGAAGGCCUUCGGGUUGUAAAGCUCUUUUGUCAGGGAAGAAACGGUGAAGGCUAAUAUCCUUUGCUAAUGACGGUACCUGAAGAAUAAGCACCGGCUAACUACGUGCCAGCAGCCGCGGUAAUACGUAGGGUGCAAGCGUUAAUCGGAAUUACUGGGCGUAAAGCGUGCGCAGGCGGUUUUGUAAGUUUGUCGUGAAAGCCCCGGGCUCAACCUGGGAAUUGCGAUGAAGACUGCAAGGCUUGAAUCUGGCAGAGGGGGGUAGAAUUCCACGUGUAGCAGUGAAAUGCGUAGAGAUGUGGAGGAACACCGAUGGCGAAGGCAGCCCCCUGGGUCAAGAUUGACGCUCAUGCACGAAAGCGUGGGGAGCAAAC
rnacentral:rRNA from 1 species